rnacentral:rRNA from 1 species
AUUGAACGCUGGCGGCGGGCUUAACACAUGCAAGUCGAACGAGUGGCGGAGUGGUGAAUAAUGCUUGGGAAUCUGGCUUAUGUAGGGGGAAAACUACGGUAACCUGUAGCUACUACCGCUAACCAUAGGAUGGGCCCUCGGGGGAUUAGGUAGUGGGUGAGGGAAAGGCUCACCAAGCCGACGAUCUCUAGCUGGUCUGAGAGGAUGACCGGCCACACUGGGACUGAGACACGGCCCAGACUCCUACGGGAGGCAGCAGUGGGGAAUAUUGCGCAAGGGGGGAAAACUGACGAAGCAAUGCCGCGUGAAUGAAGAAGGUCUUCGGGUUGUAAAGUUCUUUGGGUAGCGAGGCGUUAACUACACAGGAAGCACCGGCUAACUACGUGCCAGCAGCCGCGGUAAUAC